CCCUGCCCAGCGGGAGUGGAAGGAAUUACAGAAACCCAUGAAUGUCAGCAGGUCCGUCCACCCCAGGAAAUCAGAUGAACGUCCUCGUGAAGGAUCUUCCUCAUAAAGCUGGCCGACAGUAGAAGUCUGAGAAACCUUCUAACCAUUUCACUUUUCAUGGGAGAGAAUAAAGCUCAGAGAGCCUGAGUCACCAAUUAAGUAUUCAGCAGAAUCAGACUGGAACCAGACCCUCUGACUUCCAAUGUUUGCUAUACUGCUUCUCUCCCUGCUUAUUGUCAGGACUUUGGGGCCAACAAACAAAAAUUUAUGAUGCUUUGAAGAUGUAGCUCAGUGGGCAUUAGAAUGUUAUGGAACCCCUACAGAAUAAAUCUAAAUUCUUAGCAUGGCAUUCAAGACCUUCGGACUACCUGGCCCAAUAAAGCUUUCUCAUCUCACCUUUUACUGUCUCCCCCUGGUGUGUUCCAUCACAGAGAACUGUUUGCAGUUUUUCUACCAGGAAUGUCUUUCUCUUUCUAUGCCGAGAGAGCAAACAAACAAACCGGAGGAAGAGGCUUCAAACAGGAUGAACAGGAAUGGCCAGAGGACAUUCCAGGCAGAAGGAACAGCAAGCACAAAAACAGGCAGUCCUGAGACCCAGUCUUCAUGUUGUCUGCUUCCAGAGGAGGCAGCAUCUGGACCCUGGAGUUAACAGAGAGGGAAUUUAUCCUGUUGUGUGGCCAGGACUCCAUGUUUCAGUGAGAACUCUGUUUCUCUUUCUACUCUGCCCAGUAAGAGAAAGAGAAGGAAGGAAAAGAUACUGAGCACCAUUUGGGUACCGGGCACAGAACAUGAUGCCUAGGACAAAACUUAAAAGCCCGGAUGAAGUCUGGUUACCACAGAAAACAGUAAAAGGAUUCCACCCUCUGAUUUAGAUGUAACAUUUCUUCAACCAUUACUGUGCACCAAGAACAUC